ACGUCAGUGGUGCAACGCUUAUCAUGCGCUUGCCUUCCAUAUUCCGGUGAGGAUGUAAGCGCUUGAGCAAGCGGCGGGGGUUCGACUCCCUCCUGACGUA